UGGAAGCACCGUAAGGUGUGGAGGUGACCGGUACUAAUAGGCCGAGGGCUUGUCCUCAGUUG
rnacentral:rRNA from 1 species